ensembl:lncRNA
CCGAUACUUGGGGCCCGAUCAAAGAGCCCAAGCUGUUUUUUUUUAGGAUAACUACCCGUAAAGAUGUGAGGCCAGGGGCUAUUUCUGCUGCACCGAGAGUCCCGGUGGAAUUAACAGCGUUAAUGCCAGUUCCACGGCUGUGGUGUUGCUCGUGUGCUCACCCACGGACCCUGUGUACUGGGAUCACCUGCGUACUUCCUGUUUUGACAAGUCGUGAAAAAGGGGAUCCAUGAUCGCCCAAACUACAAAAAUAACAUGUUGUUGUAAACCGGAAUUAUUCACCAUUCCCUUUCAUCCCGACGGUGACAAAUAGAAGCUGUCACUUCAUUGCGGAUGAAAUGCUUCAGGGAAUCCAGCUUCUAAUCCAACACUGUCAAAGCUGUUGUUUGUAUUUACAAUGAGAUAAACAGAUGUAGACCUUUCGUGUUCAAAAUUGCAAACGCAGCACUUUCUGAAUUUUGACGUGUAUGUUGUUUUUUUUUCUUCUUCUGCUAUUUCCCUAUCUAUGCAAAAUGCAUCAAAAAUAUGUUCUUUAUGAUGUGUUGCCCAACACACACGUUUGUUGACGUGAAGAUGACACGAAGCUGUGACUGGUUAGAAGACUAGAAACGACAUGUUUAGUCUCUAGUGAGGACUACGGUCAUUUGUGUGUUUUUUUUGGUUGAAUUUCUUUUUGUGUUUUUGUUUCUUUCGGUUGCCUGUGAGCAAAGUAUUCAAUUACAACAGCAAUAACACUUAAUCCACCCUGACAGCAAAGAACUGUGCUAUUCAUUGGAAACAAGAUGGUGCGCCAUAAAGGUGAUGGAAACCCUUUAUAGCUGCCUGUUCAGCCAUUUCUCUUGGCGGGCAUAAAAAGGCUAAAUAUGUUAGCCAAACUAAACUUGAUCCAUAACAUCAUUAGAGAUGCUUCCGAGUUGUGCCAAGAUGAUUUACAGACCAAAUUAAAAUGUAAUAUUUUGCUCAAGUGUUGCGUUUCCUCUUUGUUGGUCAUCUUUGCGUUUGAAAAGGUGCGAGUGUGUGAAGCAGCCUGCCGUGAACGCCGAAAAUGAGACUGGCCCCAUGAAAGCCUUUUUGAUUCAUUGGAAGAGGUGAUGGACAAAAAGGGUGCGCCAGGUACAUUCGAUUGAUGACGAGGCCGCGGCGACGGGGUUAGAUGUGAAGGGACAUGAAAGACGGAAAAGGGACUUGCAAUGCCCCAUCUGUUUGCUACGGGCGAGGGAAGUAAUGACGGAUUCAUUGUUCACUCAAUUAGAAUUCAAAGAGACAGCGGGGGGAGAGAGAGAGAGAGAGGGAGAGAGAGAGGGAGCCUGGCGUGUUGAAGAGCCCCUGUGAAGAGAGUGUGAUUUCACAGGCCAAGUGUGAAUGGCUAACACGGCUGAGCGAGGGAGGUGAGAGCAGAGCCCGAGGUGACGGAGGCAGAGGAGAUCAGCUGAGGGAGGAGAGAGAGACAGAGACAGAGAGAGACACAGAGAGAGAGAGACUUUCAUGCAGCGGAAACUUUUACAAGAGCCUUUAAAAAAAAAAGAAAUACUGCAAUUUCUUUCUUUCAGUUUUGGGCUCCACUGGACUGCAGUUCCUGUUCCCAAAAAUGUCAUUGUCCUUGAACUUCCCAAUGGCCAGUUAAAUGCUUUUAAUGUGAACUGGCAGCAGGAGGAAAUGUUCCGUUUGCAUUAAGAGCAACUUAAUACGUCCCUGGAAUGAACAGUGAACAGAAGUUUGCCUUAAGGGCUUCUUACUAAAAGGGGUUUAUUUAACCCCAAAACCGUUUUUUUCUAAAAGUAACCAAUAACAUAUGUUUUACCAAUCCUAAGAAGGAUUAUCUGGCAGAAAUCCCUGAAGGUCAAACGUCUCCCAACGUUAAUUGAUCUUGUAAAUGUGAGCAAUUUGAAUCCAGCAUGAGAAGGAAAAACUUGACCAUUGGAAUUUAAGCCAACAAAGUUGAGAGAUCAUUUAAAAAAUAGCUGAAAGAAUACCAACAAAAAGUAGUGUAAUGACAUUUUUUCCCCCAUUGAAAUAAUUUGAAAAAUGGUUUGAGACUCAAACGAGUUCGACAUUUAAACGCAAUUACAGGGAAAACUCUCUAACUAGUCUAAAAGUAAGUCAGACGUAUAGUUUGCUCCUGAAGGAUCGCCAGCCAGCAGAUGAUAACUGUCAUUUUGCAUGUUUGGCAUUUUCAACCUUUCCACAUCUCCCCAAUUUCUGCACAACACGUAUUCAAACAUCCCACUGUUGAACAAUGACAACAAAAGGACUUUUCUGUCUCAUCACCUACCAACACUUAUACACUUAGACAUUUAAAUCAAUGAGCUGCUGUACCCAGACAUACACCCGAGUGUUUCUGAUUUCAUUUAAAGUUACAGUUUCGGGGUCUUGAAGUAUCCGGUCACAGAGGCUCGGCAGUACUCAAGAAGAAGGAAAGAAGAGCGACCCGAGGGAUCGCGGACAAGAGUCGGAGUGACGUGAAAGAAGAAAGAAAGACAGACAAGGACACAGACAACAAUAGACAGGGACACUGGAGAAGGAACGAUGGAGCCACAGUGGGGGUGGUGUCACUCUGCCCCGCCGCCCUUGCAUGAGGCUGAAAGAUCAUCCGUAUCCAUUAGCAACAGAUGAGGAGAAGCACUGGCAUUCUUCAUUCUCUGCACCCAUUCUAUCAUCUGCACUUACGCUUCUUCUCCGCCGCCAUCAAUCCAACAGACAUGAAAUGCACAGUUGAUCAGCUCAAUAUUCCCCCUGUCCACUCACAGCCUCUACGCCAGCAAGAUUUGAGUCCCCACGAUGACUACCAUGGCAACCAAGGUCAAAGUGGACAUGCUUGAUGUGGAUUCAUCUACUGCAGGAGAUCCAGCGCCCUCAUCAAACAUGACCUCCCAGCACGGCCUCCCCCUGUUAUCGCCCGCUCUCCCCUCACUUUCUUCUCUCUCCUCCUCUCCUCUGUCCGUCCUUCUCUGGCUCGCCUUUGUUCUCCUCCACAUCAAGUGAGAGGGACGGAGGGUCGGGACCUGCAGCGGGGAGUGCUGCCGCGAGGAGGCUUUUGAUCAGACGGGGAGCCGAGAAAGGUCGCUGCAGCGGACUGUUAGAGCUCAUCCUCUGCUGCUUCAAGACGUGAACUGUUGCUCGAUCCGUCGGCCACGCGGCGCAGACGAGGAGUGUGCAUUUCAAAGAAAACAGCUUGUUGGUGCAGUUUGCUGUGUUGCUCAUACUAUUAUACUGAUACGCCGGAGCUCUGUUUUCUUUGAUUGUGUCUCCCCUCAUCGCCUCCUCUUUGGUACGUCCUCCAUUUCUGGUCAAAUUUUUCCAAGCGGCCCUCUUGGCUUGUUGAAAUGUUUCUGUUUUGCCAAAGUUUUCUCGGCUAAUAAUUUCUAGGCUAAAUUGUGCAAACGAUGAAAUUGGCUCAUUCCACAGAGGCUAUUUCCAACAAAAUAAAUACACUUUUAGAACUAAACACAUUGAGGAAACACAAUCGGAUUGCACAAUAUUGUGGGAGAACAAACAAUUCUCUGGUGGAGCUUUUUGAGAAAAUAAACGGCGCUUUUUAUUGAUAAAUUGUCUGCUAUUUGAUUCAAUUUUCAAUCCAGAAAUCCCCACGUAUUAUUUAUUCUUGGUUUUGAUGUUGUGAAUAAUGGAACAUGAUGGUGGGAAAAGGAGCAGUGCUAUUUCAGUUGACCGUUUGAUGAAGCCAUUUGAACAUUCAAAGCAGUUAUUUAGCACCGAGAAAGAGAAACACAAGAAUACUCUUUAAACAAUCUGUUGCAGCCCACCCUGUUAAUUAGUACUUUAAUUAAGAUGAGUGUGCAUGAGCUGGGAUCGUUGCCUCUCUCGACACGAACCUGAAGAAGUAACAGGUUUUUAUUUUUACGCACUUUUAAGCUUUCAGGAUUGGAGGAUGCUCGUCCACAAGCCUAAGUAGCGUUUUUUACACACUGCUGAUUCUGCAAAAGCCAAUGAUGUUUUCUUCUUCAAAUAAUUGAUGCAUCGUUGCCUCAUAUAAAAGUUUCAGUCCAAAAUGCAGAAGUUUUGUGAUCACAAAGGCAUCGUUGUUCUCGCACCAAGGCAUAUAAAACAACACACCGUCGCAGUUUGAAGUCCGGGGCCAGUUCGCUUGAGGCUGUUCAGAAAUAUAGAUUACAAAGGCGAUGCCGAGCUGAAGCUUCGCCUUUGGGGCUCUUACAGUUGUAUAUCAGCUUCAACUGCAAAAGCCUAAAAGGGGCAUUAAAUAAUCCCAUUGGUCUCACUGCUGUGAAUGACCAUAAUGUUCUGCAGUGGUUUAAAUGGCUUCUUAAUCAAUACAACCAACGUAUGUGUCCUGCGUUCUCAAGUCAAAGACAACAGUAUAAAGUACAAAGUUGGAUGCUGUAUUUAUAUACGUUUGUAAUUACCUUUGCAUUGUGGAUUCAAGGUUUUGACUGUUGCAUUCUGUGAUGAGGAGUGUCCGGUUGUUGGUAGAUAUAUUGCUGCAUAUAUUUACUUUAUUUGAACAUGAAUAAAUGAAUAUGAAUACAGCAGUAAACAUCUAUUGGCUACGUAAAAAAAUCCCAGAGGAACGUCAACCUGAAUAGACGAUGUCCUCUCC